ensembl:lncRNA
CCUCCCCAUACUAUUCCUGCAGAACGGGACUUACGACAGAAUUAUCCAAACAGCUAUUACAUGCCGACUUACAGAAUUUGUUUUUGUCUGUUUGGUCCCUCCGGCCUCUGCCUCUUUUUCCAGUUUCUUUGGGGACGUGGAAGGUAUUCCAUAAUUGUCCGGUUGAUAAGAGCUAGCUUGAAUGUCAAUGCCAUCUGUUGCACACGCUGGAGCCGAUUCAGCCUCAUCUACAAACACAUCAAGGUUCUCGACUGGCAUUAGGGCUGUCAAAGUUAACGCGUUAAUGCGUACGAUUAAUUUAAAAUACUUAACACCGUUAAUUUUCUUUUCGCCGUUAACGCAACAUUUUUUUUUUUACCUCGGCGCCAUUCAGUAAGAAAUUGACUUUAGUGGGAGUUGACAGGAUCGUGCUACUAUCACACAUUUAUUGUUUAACAUUAACUUUAUUGGCGGUUGACUUGACCUGUGCGCUUCACAGGCAUUUUUUUCCAAUAUAUAAUUGGAAAGUUUGCAUUCAUGUCGUGAAUUGUGUUUACUCGGCACUAGUUUAACAACAACAGCCUAAAAAUGCGUUAGUAUGCUACACAUGAGUUUGUUCAAUGGAUGUGAGGAAAUGGGAAUAUCCCCAGUCUCACUACAAAAACACUUCAAACAGGAAUGCUAGCCAUCCCCAGCUCUGCUUCAUGAAUCCACCUACUAACAAUGCUUGUAGCAUGUUGGAGCUACAAGGAACUGCAGACAUCAUCAUUCAUAAACACAAUCCCUGCUGCCUGAGCCAAGUAGCUGCGCCUUGUAAACAAAGUCUCCCGCCUGACCUGUGCACCUCAGCGAGCUGACAAAUGACAACAUUCUCCUCCACUCCCCUCCCACCUCAACCCCAG